CCUCACUCCAGCCUGUCUCUGGACAACAGGAGGGCUUCAGCCAAGACCUGCAGCUGCUCCAAGACCUCUCGCUGCAUCUCCACAGCCACGUGGAACACGUGGUGGUCGGAGCUGUUGUACAUCACAGCGUUCUGGAACAUGAGCAUCAGGUCACACUGGAACUGCAUCAAGGACUGAAUGUGUCCCUUUGACAGCCUCCUCUUUAUGCUGCUUAAAUCCAUGGGUCUACAAAAGACAGAGAGGAGAAGAAUGAAAUUGCAACCCAGGGCCUGGCAUCCUUUGGGAUCUGCAUGAAUGUGCCUGUUCUCAUUUCAGGGUGGCCCUGAAAGCACAGCUAUUUUCAAUCAAUUUUAUUGCUCAAGACACACAGAGGGGAGUGAGAAAGGCUUUUCUUCUGAGCCAGACAAAAGAUCAAUGCCCUACAAUACCAGCAAACCCAGAGACAGCACAAGUUACCUCCCUCCCUCCUGCUCUGCUUGGCUACCUCACCUUCCUGGAUGUGACCUGGCCAUGCACUCGUUCUCAUGUGUGACAAGGGAAGUGACUCUGUUCUGCUGCGUUUCCAAGAGUGCAGAACCAGCUACUUACAGGUGCCUGUUGGGAGAGCCUGUGGAGUCCAGCACUGAGGCUGCAGAGCUGCUGUCACUGUCAUCUUGAUCCAGGGCCUGAGCACUCAUCUCAGGUGAAUGCAGCUCAUCUGAAGGGGGUUCUCCAGGUGUGUCUUCAGUCUCUCCCUGAAGAGCACAGAGGACACAUCUAAAAUGGCAGCACAGUACCUGAAUCCUUCAUCUAGAAGCCAGCCUGCUGCAUAUCCCUCUCCUGCAUCCAGGUUCAGCUGAGACCUGCCUGCUCUGUUACUCAGAGGAUGCUGUUUGACCUCACUGAGACCUUCCCAGCAGGAGCUGUGUCUGAUCUCUUGGAUGCCAGCCACCCCUGGCUGACACAAACCCUGUGGAGCUGAGUGGUGCCCAGUGUUGUGUCUGCUCUCUGGAAGAGUCAUGGAUGUAGAGAGGGCAAUCAGGAGCUGAGGUAAGACUGCCUCAGGCUCCUUAAAGCUGCAGAUACAGAUAACAGGAACCCCCAGAGUUAACAAGGUUGUUUCCUCACAAACUCCCACGUUAAAAUGACAGGGAAUAGACUCAGCCAGGAAGGAGAGUGGUGCUGUUGCUGUAGUGGUUUGCCAGUAAAAAGCUCAGUGGGAUUUCAUGCAGGAGCACCUCAG
rnacentral:lncRNA from 1 species